GGCUGGUCCAAAGGUACUGAGUUGUCUUUAUUCAUUGUUCACAGUCAGUUACAGAUGGAACUCCUUUUUCUACUCUUUGGCCCCUUCUCACCACUGUACAUGACUAGCCUUUA
rnacentral:Y_RNA from 1 species